GGGGAGGCUGAGGGGACACGAGGGGACCGGCAACUCAGAUAAACACCUCCAGGUCACCCGGCUGAGCGGUGGUCCGCCCCGGUGGUGGGAGGGCUGUGUGCUGUCUGCAGACCCAGCCCCCCAGAUCCCAGGUGUGGACAGGCCUCUCCUUGCAGGGGCUCGUGUACAGCAGGGGAGCUCAGAGGCCCCUGGAGGACCUGGGAGGUCCCUCGGAGGCUUGGGCGGGUGGUGCAGAUCAGACUCCCAAACCAGCCCUCUCCCCACGGUAGGACUUGGGUGUUGUCCACGGCCGCUGCAGGCAACUGUGGGGACGGGCGCAGAGCCCCGAGUCCCUGCUGCAGCCCCUUCCCUCUCUCUGCUCUCGCCGGGUCCUUCUCAACACCCUCUGGCUUGUGUCCCACGGGUCCCCUGCAGCCCGGGAUCCUGUGUUGUGGCUGGUCUCCCAAUUCCCCGGGGCCGUACUCCUCGCAGGCCAGGUGUGUCCCAGGCCAGCCGCCAGCCCCUCCAAGGACCUUUCCUGGCAGGCUGCCUUGACUCUACCUUAGUUGUGUGUGGUGGUGAUCUUUAACUUAAGGACUGUCACCAGUGAGCCAGGCAGGCUUGGUCUGUGGUUAGAGUGGCGUACUCUUAAAACUCAAGAAUUAGGAAGUUGGCGCUGGCCCCCAUCUGCCUUUCCGGGUCUGUCUGCCACCGUGUACCUGCCCUGGAGCUCAGCUGGGUCACCUGGGAGCUGGGAGCAGUGCUGGGGCGUGGGCCUGCUCCCUCCCCGCCAGGCGUCCCUACAGAGCCUCUGGCUGUGCUGUUUCCCCUUUGAGCCCCUUCAAGCCAGAGGGCAGUAGAUGCGUGUGCUGUCCCUUUGCCAGCUCUGCUCAUGGGAUCCCAGCCUGAGGGGCCCCCGCUCUCCUUCCGUGACUGUGUGGGGCUGGACGGGAGGCCCGGGGCUGGAAGCCAGGCCCACCCUGCACGUGGUUACAGGAGGCAGGGCUCUGACCACCAGGUGAGGUCGCAGCUGCCUGCAGGGACACUGGUCCUAAAGAAAAGGCAGGAAAGCUUCUCUGCGAAGGGGUGGGGACAGAAUGUGACUAGGGCAGGGGCGGAGAGGCCCCACCAGCCCAGUGUCCGCCCAGUGCUGCUCUGCCUGUGCCCGUGGUGGCCCAGCAGGCACGGGUGUGUCUUGGCAUUCUGUGUGUGUGUGCUGACGGCAGAGCCUGGCCAGAGGUCUGCUCACCUGCAGUCAUCACGUCAUCAUCUUCCCCCUCCUCUUUUAAACAGCCCACCGCCACCUUCUGUCUCAAGGUCAUAAUUGUCCCCGGGCCCACUUUGUCAUGAGGUGCGACCAGGGACGGCCUCUCUGUGCGGACGGCCCAGCCGCGGAGGCAGGCACCUCCAAGCACCCUGGAGUCACCGUGGGCACGCCGUGCGGCUGGGAUUUCUCCCCGGCAGGGUGUGCUGGCCGGGGGGCAGCACGACGUCCACGGAGAGCGCAGUGCUCCCCGGUGUGGGUCCCAGGGCCGAUGCAGGAAGUGGCGGUUGCAUCAUGGCGAUCAGGGUACAGAGGAGAUGCGGUUCCCAGGCGAGCUGCCCCGCCAGAGCCCCGAGGGUGUGGUGGGGGGGCGGGCAGCUAGGGGCUUUCAGGAAGGGGCUCCCUGCUCUGCUGCUCUGCGCCCCUGGAAAAGGGGACAUAAAUUCCAUGCUCUUCCUUCCCAGACAGGUACUUCCGGGGUCCUUCUCCCUACUUGAGUUUGAAGCCUUUUGCUGGGUGCACCUCAAGGAUUCGGUGGGAUGUGUAUGUAUCUUCGUAAUAAGACAUAGCAAUGCAUUUUAGGAAUUUGUUUUCUUGAAACAUUAGGAUGCCCUAAUCUUACAAUGUCAGUCCCAUGUGGGUUUUUUAAAUUUUUAAUUUAAUUUUAUUUUUUUGGUUGGGCAGCGAGGUUAUUAAGUUUCUUUAUUUAUUUUUAAUGGAGGUACCGGGAAUUGAACCCAGGACCUCAUGCAUGCUAGGCACUCACUCUGCCACUGAGCCACCCCCAGUCCUCCCCUCAGUCCCAUGUUUUAAAUUCUGGGGUUUUGUUUUCACUGGCCCUCUGGAUAUUUCUUCUGACCUGACUUGUUCUCCCCUGGGAAGUCAACUCUACAUUGGAUUAUGAUUGUGAAAAUGACACGUGGAGGGGAGCUUAGGCAAAUAGAAAUAAAUUGAGUGAUGAGCUGCUUUUUCUUCUAAACUCUCUCAGAGUUAAAAUACUGUUUAUUCAAUUAUGUUCAAAACUGUCUGGAAGCGCUCCAGUGUCGCGUGUGAGCUGUGGAGAUUCCCGCGGGCACCGGCCAUCUCGGCUUCACGUCAGUAUCUUCUCUGUUGAUUAAACCUCCUGUCUGAUUCGGCAACACCACCUCCCGAGGGGGCGGUGUGAGGUGAUGCGUGUGGAUGUCCCGUGGGCCUGACGCCCUCAGACAGGCAGAGUAGUGGCCUCCCCAGGACGUCCACGUGCCAACCCCCGAACCCUGAACAUACGUCACCCCACGUGGCAGAGGGCAAGGGAGGGCUCUAAUCGGCCUUGGUUGUGGGUUAUCCGAGUGGGCCCGUGUCAUCCCAAGGGCCUUUAAAAGUGGAGUAGAGGGGCAGAAGAGGGGGACUAGGCGUAGAAAAGGACUCCACCCGUCGUUGCUGGCCUGGGCGGCGGGGGAGGGGCCAGGAAUCUAGCUGGAGAAGGAGCAGACUCCCCCGGAGCCUCCGCCGGCGCGAGCCCCGCCCACACCGCGGCUGGAGCCCCGAGAGCCGUCGGAGCCUAACCUGCAGAGCUGCAGGGCCAUAUGCUUCUGUGGUUCUGGGCCAGUGGCUCGGGGGUGAUUGGUUCCAGCAGCCACGGGGAGCUGCCCCUCCUUAGGGGGCGUGGGGUGAAGUCUGCGUUUGGAGAGCUGGGUCCGUUUCCUGCCCCUCCCUGGCACCGCCGGUACCCAGUACCGGAAGGUGCUGGAUCAGUGAUCCACAGCUGAUGUGGCGAUUGAACGGGUGACCCAGGCUGUGGUGACGCAAGUGUGAGAAGGGGCUUCAAAUCAGAGUCCGGCCCCUGGGCCAGUGAUCCUCGGAGUAGUGUUGAUGGGGACAUUUUCUCCAGUCCUACCUUCACCUGAAACUGUGCAAGGAUGCUUCCAGAGCCAGCCUCCUUGAUGGCUUCCAGUGGGUGGGCCUCUCCUCCGAGCACCACAGCCCUGUGCGGCCCCUCCUGCAGGGAGCUGGGCUGACCUGCAGAAGGGGAGGGCAUUGUGAAAACAGCAGGUGUCUCUUCCAGACACGGGGCACGGGGGACACGUCAGCGUCUGCUCUGAGACAAGCCAGCCCUCGUCAGAAGGAAGUUCACACAGCCCUUUGCAGAGGUCAAGGUGGCAAGGAGCUGAGGUGUGAGUGUGUCACCUUGGAAACGAGUCCUCCAUCCCCAGCCAGUCCUGGCCAAUACCUGGACUGAAACCUCCCGAGAGCCCCUGAGCCAAGAACCACCCAGCUGACCUGCUCGCCAGUUCCUGACUUUCAGAACCAGUGGGAGAUAAUCAGUGCUUACUGCAGCUUUCACCAAGUUUAGCAUAAUUUAUAAGGCAUGUAUGUUAAUUAUGUUUGAAUUUCUCAUUUGAAUCCAACGAAGAGCGGGCCUGGGCUCCCUCGCGCAGAAUGUAGCUGUGCGGAUGCGUGUACCCUGUCACCACCUGAGAGGGACCAGCGUUUGGGCCCUUCAAAUAUUAUUCAAAAUGUGUAAGAUGCGCUUUAGUCCCACAGCUCUCUUAAGGAUGAAUUGGGGAUGCCCUAGCCCGUGUACAUUCAGGAGACGACUUCAGUCUCACAGCACAGGGGCCGUAGGACAUGGUGUGGAACAGCUGUGCAGGGGGAUGGGCACUGCCAGAGCCACCCUGUCACCAAGGUGUCCAGGGGCACCUGCGUGGUCGUGUGUGGGCGGGGCCGGGGAAGCUUCCAGCACGCGAUUCUCCUGGGGUGGACGCCUGGACCCUCACGCUGGCACAUGGCCAUUCACAGCAGCGCUGCCUUUUGUGUUUCAAUUGAAUAAACUUUGAAUUUUGGAAUAA